rnacentral:rRNA from 1 species
UAUGGAGAGUUUGAUCCUGGCUCAGAGUGAACGCUGGCGGCGUGCCUAAUACAUGCAAGUCGAACGAUGAAGCUUCUAGCUUGCUAGAAUGCUGAUUAGUGGCGCACGGGUGAGUAACGCAUAGGUUAUGUGCCUUUUAGUUUGGGAUAGCCAUUGGAAACGAUGAUUAAUACCAGAUACUCCCUACGGGGGAAAGAUUUAUCGCUAAGAGAUCAGCCUAUGUCCUAUCAGCUUGUUGGUAAGGUAAUGGCUUACCAAGGCUAUGACGGGUAUCCGGCCUGAGAGGGUGAACGGACACACUGGAACUGAGACACGGUCCAGACUCCUACGGGAGGCAGCAGUAGGGAAUAUUGCUCAAUGGGGGAAACCCUGAAGCAGCAACGCCGCGUGGAGGAUGAAGGUUUUAGGAUUGUAAACUCCUUUUGUUAGAGAAGAUAAUGACGGUAUCUAACGAAUAAGCACCGGCUAACUCCGUGCCAGCAGCCGCGGUAAUACGGAGGGUGCAAGCGUUACUCGGAAUCACUGGGCGUAAAGAGCGCGUAGGCGGGAUAGUCAGUCAGGUGUGAAAUCCUAUGGCUUAACCAUAGAACUGCAUUUGAAACUACUAUUCUAGAGUGUGGGAGAGGUAGGUGGAAUUCUUGGUGUAGGGGUAAAAUCCGUAGAGAUCAAGAGGAAUACUCAUUGCGAAGGCGACCUGCUGGAACAUUACUGACGCUGAUUGCGCGAAAGCGUGGGGAGCAAACAGGAUUAGAUACCCUGGUAGUCCACGCCCUAAACGAUGGAUGCUAGUUGUUGGAGGGCUUAGUCUCUCCAGUAAUGCAGCUAACGCAUUAAGCAUCCCGCCUGGGGAGUACGGUCGCAAGAUUAAAACUCAAAGGAAUAGACGGGGACCCGCACAAGCGGUGGAGCAUGUGGUUUAAUUCGAAGAUACACGAAGAACCUUACCUAGGCUUGACAUUGAGAGAAUCCGCUAGAAAUAGUGGAGUGUCUGGCUUGCCAGACCUUGAAAACAGGUGCUGCACGGCUGUCGUCAGCUCGUGUCGUGAGAUGUUGGGUUAAGUCCCGCAACGAGCGCAACCCUCUUUCUUAGUUGCUAACAGGUUAUGCUGAGAACUCUAAGGAUACUGCCUCCGUAAGGAGGAGGAAGGUGGGGACGACGUCAAGUCAUCAUGGCCCUUACGCCUAGGGCUACACACGUGCUACAAUGGGGUGCACAAAGAGAAGCAAUACUGCGAAGUGGAGCCAAUCUUCAAAACACCUCUCAGUUCGGAUUGUAGGCUGCAACUCGCCUGCAUGAAGCUGGAAUCGCUAGUAAUCGCAAAUCAGCCAUGUUGCGGUGAAUACGUUCCCGGGUCUUGUACUCACCGCCCGUCACACCAUGGGAGUUGUGUUUGCCUUAAGUCAGGAUGCUAAAUUGGCUACUGCCCACGGCACACACAGCGACUGGGGUGAAGUCGUAACAAGGUAACCGUAGGUGAACCUGCGGUUGGAUCACCUCCUU